AAGGGCACCACAAGAACGCGUGGAGCAUGUGGCUUAAUUUGACAACACGAGAAAUCUUACCGGGUCCGGACACACUGAGGAUUGACAGGUAUUAUUGCAGUUCAACUGCAUGUUAAAUAUGCUAGUCCUUUCAUGAUUAUGUGAUAGGUGGUGCAUGGCCGUUCUUAGUUCGUGGAGUGAUCUGUCUGCUUAAUUGCGUUUCACUAAGGGUUUAUUUUUAACUUUAAGUUAUAUAUUUUGACCCCUACUUUAAUUAGUAGUGUGUUUUGUCAACUUUAUAAUUUUAUAAUACAACCCUGAAAGCAACGAACGUGACC
rnacentral:rRNA from 1 species